GCCGGUGUGGCUCAGUGGAUGGAGCAUCGGCCUGCGGACCGAAGGGGCUCGGGUUCGAUUCCAGUCGGUGGCA
rnacentral:tRNA from 1 species